UACCAUGUUUCCCAGGACUUUGGCUGAGUUAUGAUCAUGGGAUCUCCAACUACAUCACACAGUAACAUGGAGACACUCCGAGAGCUCAGGUCAGCAUAGUGCCUGCUACUCAUCUUAGAAAA